rnacentral:sRNA from 1 species
UCUUUUCACAUCGGAAUGUACCCAUCCUCUUCGUUUGACUGAUGCGUACUGGAUUUACUCCAGUUAAUCCGGUCUCCAUUUCCCCUCUCGAUACCUCCCCCUCCGAAAGUGCGGCAGUUGCUGGAAUUCACAAAGGUCAAGGAUUCGGUAUCCUAUAAAAAGAAUAGCCACUGGCCGCGUGGUCGCCAACAUUCCACUAGGUUACUGGAAUAAGGCAUCCUCUUCGACAACUGAUCCUCUUCGAUAACUGUAUCCUCAUGGCUUAUCAGCUAGAUUGGCCGAAUGCCAAUUGGAUCCUGGUAAAGUAUCUCGUUGUAGCGGUGCCACUGUCCUCUUAGAGGCCGGAAAGCACCUGAAGCUACUAUAGUUUCGUUGUCCUCGGUCAUUUGUAUUCAAUUCAACUAGGAGCUCUGUGUGUAGACGAUAUGGCUUUGUAGACUAAAGGAUUUGAGAAGACUGAGCUGCUUGAGCUAUGCAUUUAACUACCCUAAGG